CCUACGGGUGGCAGCAGUGAGGAAUAUUGGUCAAUGGGCGAGAGCCUGAACCAGCCAAGUCGCGUGAGGGCAGACGGUCCUACGGAUUGUAAACCUCUUUUGUCAGGGAGCAAGGAGCGCCACGAGUGGUUCGGCGAGAGUACCUGAAGAAAAAGCAUCGGCUAACUCCGUGCCAGCAGCCGCGGUAAUACGGAGGAUGCGAGCGUUAUCCGGAUUUAUUGGGUUUAAAGGGAGCGUAGGCCGCAUGUCAAGCGUGCUGUGAAAUGUCCGGGCUCAACCCGGGCCUUGCAGCGCGAACUGGCGUGCGUGAGUCCGCGGAAAGCAGGCGGAAUUCGUGGUGUAGCGGUGAAAUGCUUAGAUAUGACGAAGAACCCCGAUUGCGAAGGCAGCUUGCUGCAGCGGAACUGACGCUGAUGCUCGAAAGCGCGGGUAUCGAACAGGAUUAGAUACCCUUGUAGUC
rnacentral:rRNA from 1 species